rnacentral:rRNA from 1 species
CGUGAGUGAUGAAGGCUUUCGGGUCGUAAAGCUCUGUCAAGUGGGAAGAAACUGUUAGAUACUAAUACCAUCUAGCACUGACGGUACCACUAAAGGAAGCACCGGCUAACUCCGUGCCAGCAGCCGCGGUAAUACGGGGGGUGCAAGCGUUAUUCGGAAUUAUUGGGCGUAAAGGGCGCGUAGGCGGUCUCUAAAGUCAGAUGUGAAAGCCCGGGGCUUAACCCCGGAAGUGCAUUUGAAACUUAGGGACUUGAGUAUGGGAGAGGGAAGUGGAAUUCCUGGUGUAGCGGUGAAAUGCGUAGAUAUCAGGAGGAACACCAGUGGCGAAGGCGACUUCCUGGACCAAUACUGACGCUGAGGCGCGAAGGCGUGGGGAGCAAACAGGAUUAGAUACCCUGGUAGUCCACGCAGUAAACGGUGAACACUAGGUGUAGCGGGUAUUGACCCCUGCUGUGCCGCAGCUAACGCAUUAA